GAUGAACGCUGGCGGCAGGCCUAACACAUGCAAGCCGAGCGGUAGAGUCUCUUCUGCGACUUGAGUGCGGCGCGCGGGUGCGGAACACGUCUGCGACCUGCCUUUAUCUGGGGGAUAGACUUUCGAAAGGAAGAUUAAUUCCCCCUAAUAUACUGGAUGGGAUCCUCUGGUAUUGUAAACUCCGGUGGAUAGAGAUGGGCACGCGCUAGAUUAGCUAGUUGGUGAGGUAACGGCUCACCAAGUCAGCGAUCUUUAGGGGGCCUGAGAGGGUGAUCCCCCAGAAUGGGACUGAGACACGGACCAGACUCAUACGGGACGGAGCAGUGAGGAAUACUGGAGAAGGGGUGAUGGCCUGAUCCAGCCAUGCCGGGUGAAGGACCACGGCGAUAGGGGUGGUAAACUUCUUGUGAAGAAGGACAAUCCGAGAUAAGUGUACCUAGCUGAAGGUACUAGACGAAUAAGCACCGGCUAACUCCGUG
rnacentral:rRNA from 1 species